CAGCAGCCACGGUAAUACGAAGGGUGCAAGCGUUAAUCGGAAUUACUGGGCGUAAAGCGCGCGUAGGUGGUUUGUUAAGUUGGAUGUGAAAGCCCCGGGCUCAACCUGGGAACUGCAUCCAAAACUGGCAAGCUAGAGUACGGUAGAGGGUGGUGGAAUUUCCUGUGUAGCGGUGAAAUGCGUAGAUAUAGGAAGGAACACCAGUGGCGAAGGCGACCACCUGGACUGAUACUGACACUGAGGUGCGAAAGCGUGGGGAGCAAACAGGAUUAGAUACCCCCGUAGUCCCUGUCUCUUAUAC
rnacentral:rRNA from 1 species